AGUUCGAUCAUGGCUCAGAUUGAACGCUGGCGGGAUGCUUUACACAUGCAAGUCGAACGGCAGCACGGACUUCGGUCUGGUGGCGAGUGGCGAACGGGUGAGUAAUGUAUCGGAACGUGCCUAGUAGCGGGGGAUAACUACGCGAAAGCGUAGCUAAUACCGCAUACGCCCUUCGGGGGAAAGCGGGGACCUCGGGCCUCGCACUAUUAGAGCGGCCGAUAUCGGAUUAGCUAGUUGGUGGGGUAACGGCUCACCAAGGCGACGAUCCGUAGCUGGUUUGAGAGGACGACUAGCCACACUGGGACUGAGACACGGCCCAGACUCCUACGGGAGGCAGCAGUGGGGAAUUUGGACAAUGGGGGAAACCCUGAUCCAGCCAUCCCGCGUGUGCGAUGAAGGCUUUCGGGUUGUAAAGCACUUCUUGGCAGGAAAGAACGGCACGGGAUAAUACCCCGUGCAACUGACGGUACCUGCAGAAUAAGCACCGGCUAACUACGUGCCAGCAGCCGUAAUACGUAGGGUGCAAGCGUUAAUCGGAAUUACCGGGCGUAAAGCGUGCGCAGGCGGUUCGAAAGAAAGAUGUGAAAUCCCAGAGCUUAACUUUUGGAACUGCAUUUUUAACUACCGAGCUAGAGUGUGUCAGAGGGAGGUGGAAUUCGCGUGUAGCAGUGAAAUGCGUAGAUAUGCGGAGGAACACCGAUGGCGAAGGCAGCCCUCCUGGGAUAACACUGACGCUCAUGCACGAAAGCGUGGGGAGCAAACAGAUUAGAUACCCUGGUAGUCCACGCCUUAAACGAUGUCAACUAGCUGUUGGGGCCUUCGCCUUGUAGCGCAGCUAACGCGUGAAGUUGACCGCCUGGGGAGUAUGGUCGCAAGAUUAAAACUCAAAGGAAUUGGACGGGGACCCGCACAAGCGGUGGAUGAUGUGGAUUAAUUCGAUGCAACGCGAAAACCUUACCUACCCUUGACAUGUCUGGAAUCCCGAAGAGAUUUGGGAGUGCUCGCAAGAGAACCGGAACACAGGUGCUGCAUGGCUGUCGUCAGCUCGUGUCGAGAUGCUGGGUUAAGUCCGCAACGAGCGCAACCCUUGUCAUUAGUUGCUAAUAAAGGGCACUCUAAUGAGACUGCCGGUGACAAACCGAGGAAGGUGGGGAUGACGUCAAGUCCUCAUGGCCCUUAUGGGUAGGGCUUCACACGUCAUACAAUGGUCGGGACAGAGGGUCGCCAACCCGCGAGGGGGAGCCAAUCCCAGAAACCCGAUCGUAGUCCGGAUCGCAGUCUGCAACUCGACUGCGGAAGCUUGACCCGCAAUCGCGGAUCAGCAUGUCGCGGUGAAUACGUUCCCGGGUCUUGUACACACCGCCCGUCACACCAUGGGAGUGGGUUUUACCAGAAGUAGUUAGCCUAACCGUAAGGAGGGCGAUUACCACGGUAGGAUUCUACUGGGGUGAAGUCGUAACAAGGUAA
rnacentral:rRNA from 1 species